GACGAACGCUGGCGGCGUGCCUAAUACAUGCAAGUAGAACGCAGUUGCGAACGGGUGAGUAACGCGUAGGUAACUGCCUGGUAGCGGGGGAAAACAAUUGGAAAAGAUAGCUAAUACCGCAUACUACCAGAUGGACCUGCGUUUUGUUAGCUAGUUGGGGGGGUAACGGCUCACCACGGCAACGAUACAUAGCCGACCUGAGAGGGUGAUAGGCAACACUGGGACUGAGAAACGGCCCAGACUCCGACGGGAGGCAGCAGUAGGGAAUCUUUGGCAAUGGACGAAAGUCUGACCGAGCAACGCCGCGUGGGUGAAGAAGGUUUUCGGAUCGUAAAACUCUGUUGUUAGAGAAGCGGUAUCUAACCAGAAAGCCACGGCUAACUACGUGCCAGCAGCCGCGGUAAUAC
rnacentral:rRNA from 1 species